GAAGUCGCUCAGGUUGUCUACUUGAAAGUUAUACUGUCGUGUCCGACUCCUAGCGACCCCAUGGACUGUAGUCUACCAGACUCCCCUGUCCAUGGGAUUUUCCAGACAAGAGUACUGGAGUGGGGUGCCAUUGCCUUAAGUUUAGAACAGUUUGUUAAAAUGUUAAGUGAAAAAGCUACACACCAGGUUUUAUAUGUGGAAUGAGUCUAAAGAAAACAUACGAAUAAACAAGAAGUGCUAGAAAAAUUCAGGCAAGCGAGGCAAUUCAUGUUAAUGACGCUUGCUUUCUUCUUUCCUGUGUGGGGUGCCGCACCUAGACCAGCUGACCUCAGGCGGCGGGUCAGCUCCCGGCCCCGCCCACCUCUGCACAUGCGCAUGGAGGCCCUCUACGGCCACGCCACUGCUGCUGACCCAUGCUCCUGCUGCUGCUCUGAUGGAAUGGAGUGCGGACGCAUGUGUUUCUGUCGCUGUGAAUUUUAAUGAGGUUACACUGACUUAGACCCUUAAGAGUUUCUGGGCUGGGCCUGGCCUAGCAAUGGCUCUGCACAAUUUAGUGAGUCGUAAGGAGUGCUGUCACUGUUCUCUGGGUGCUGGGCCCCAGGAGUCACAGAAGGGCUCCAUCAGCACACAGAAUGCAGAAGCGUGCGGCUAUUUAGAGCUCUCCCUGGCUCUCACCUGAUCUUCAAUGAUACGGGAAGAUUAAGUACCAGGAUCGGAAAAGAUAUGGGAGAGAACUGGUUGGAGCACACUCGAGUUCAGUAGAUGUGGAAACACGUGCCCUCAGUUUUUCCCAGCAUCAGGGUCUUUUCCAAUAAGUCGGCUCUUUGCAUCAGGUGGCCAAAGCAUUGGAGCUCCAGCUUCAGCAUCAGUCCUUCCGAUGAAUAUUCAGGGUUGAUUUCCUUUAGGAUGGACUGGUUUGUUCUCCUUGCUGUCCCUUGAAAGGGACCCUCAAGGGUCUUCUCCAGCACCACAGUUGAAAGUGUCAAUCCUUUGGUGUUCAGCCUUCUUUAUGAUCCAACUCUUACAUCUGUACAUGUAUUCUGUACUCCAUUAUUCUUGCCUGGACAAUUCCAUGGACCGAGGAGCCUGGUGGGCUUACAGUCCAUGCAGUCACAAAGAGGUGGAUACAACAGCAAAUAAACAACAAUGACAACUCGACAUAUAAGUUAAAUAAGCAGGGUGACUAUAUACAGCUUUGUCGUACUCUUUUCCCAGUUUUGGUUAUAAAGUUUAAAAAAAGACCAUCCUUAUGGAUUUUUCCAGAAAAAGUAUAGAGGAAAAAAAUUGACACAAACCUAAACUUUAGCUGAUUCAGUGUAACACCUGUUGCUC
ensembl:lncRNA